rnacentral:rRNA from 1 species
GAUGAACGCUAGCGGCAGGCCUAAUACAUGCAAGUCGAACGGUGUAGCAAUGCACAGUGGCGCACGGGUGCGUAACACGUAUGCAACCUACCUUACAUUGGGGGAUAGCCUUUCGAAAGGGAGAUUAAUACCGCAUAAGACAGUAACUAGGCAUCUAGUAGCUGUUAAAGAUUUAUCGAUGUAAGCUGGGCAUGCGUCCAAUUAGUUAGUUGGCGAGGUAAUGGCUCACCAAGACGAUGAUUGGUAGGGGAACUGAGAGGUCAAUCCCCCACACUGGCACUGAGAUACGGGCCAGACUCCUACGGGAGGCAGCAGUAGGGAAUAUUGGGCAAUGAACGCAAGCCUGACCCAGCCAUGCCGCGUGCAGGAAGAAGGCGUUAUGCGUUGUAAACUGCUUUUAUACAGGAAGAAACGACCCUUGCGAAAGGCAUUGACGGUACUGUAUGAAUAAGCACCGGCUAACUCCGUGCCAGCCGCCGCAGUAACAC